UGACAGUACUCCUACGGGGAGGCAGCAGUGGGGGAAUAUUGCACAAUGGGCGCAAGCCUGAUGCAGCCAUGCCGCGUGUGUGAAGAAGGCCUUCGGGUUGUAAAGCACUUUCAGUCGUGAGGAAGGUAGUGUAGUUAAUAGCUGCAUUAUUUGACGUUAGCGACAGAAGAAGCACCGGCUAACUCCGUGCCAGCAGCCGCGGUAAUACGGAGGGUGCGAGCGUUAAUCGGAAUUACUGGGCGUAAAGCGCAUGCAGGUGGUUUGUUAGGUCAGAUGUGAAAGCCCGGGGCUCAACCUCGGAAUAGCAUUUGAAACUGGCAGACUAGAGUACUGUAGAGGGGGGUAGGAAUUUCAGGUGUAGCGGUGAAAUGCGUAGAGAUCUGAAGGAAUACCGGUGGCGAAGGCGGCCCCCUGGACAGAUACUGACACUCAGAUGCGAAAGCGUGGGGAGCAAACAGGAUUAGAUACCCUGGUAG
rnacentral:rRNA from 1 species